rnacentral:rRNA from 2 species
GGGUUGUGAGGUUAAGCGACUAAGCGUACACGGUGGAUGCCCUGGCAGUCAGAGGCGAUGAAGGACGUGCUAAUCUGCGAUAAGCGUCGGUAAGGUGAUAUGAACCGUUAUAACCGGCGAUUUCCGAAUGGGGAAACCCAGUGUGAUUCGUCACACUAUCAUUAACUGAAUCCAUAGGUUAAUGAGGCGAACCGGGGGAACUGAAACAUCUAAGUACCCCGAGGAAAAGAAAUCAACCGAGAUUCCCCCAGUAGCGGCGAGCGAACGGGGAGCAGCCCAGAGCCUGAAUCAGUGUGUGUGUUAGUGGAAGCGUCUGGAAAGGCGCGCGAUACAGGGUGACAGCCCCGUACACAAAAAUGCACAUGCUGUGAGCUCGAUGAGUAGGGCGGGACACGUGGUAUCCUGUCUGAAUAUGGGGGGACCAUCCUCCAAGGCUAAAUACUCCUGACUGACCGAUAGUGAACCAGUACCGUGAGGGAAAGGCGAAAAGAACCCCGGCGAGGGGAGUGAAAAAGAACCUGAAACCGUGUACGUACAAGCAGUGGGAGCACGCUUAGGCGUGUGACUGCGUACCUUUUGUAUAAUGGGUCAGCGACUUAUAUUCUGUAGCAAGGUUAACCGAAUAGGGGAGCCGAAGGGAAACCGAGUCUUAACUGGGCGUUAAGUUGCAGGGUAUAGACCCGAAACCCGGUGAUCUAGCCAUGGGCAGGUUGAAGGUUGGGUAACACUAACUGGAGGACCGAACCGACUAAUGUUGAAAAAUUAGCGGAUGACUUGUGGCUGGGGGUGAAAGGCCAAUCAAACCGGGAGAUAGCUGGUUCUCCCCGAAAGCUAUUUAGGUAGCGCCUCGUGAAUUCAUCUCCGGGGGUAGAGCACUGUUUCGGCAAGGGGGUCAUCCCGACUUACCAACCCGAUGCAAACUGCGAAUACCGGAGAAUGUUAUCACGGGAGACACACGGCGGGUGCUAACGUCCGUCGUGAAGAGGGAAACAACCCAGACCGCCAGCUAAGGUCCCAAAGUCAUGGUUAAGUGGGAAACGAUGUGGGAAGGCCCAGACAGCCAGGAUGUUGGCUUAGAAGCAGCCAUCAUUUAAAGAAAGCGUAAUAGCUCACUGGUCGAGUCGGCCUGCGCGGAAGAUGUAACGGGGCUAAACCAUGCACCGAAGCUGCGGCAGCGACGCUGAUGCGUUGUUGGGUAGGGGAGCGUUCUGUAAGCCUGCGAAGGUGUGCUGUGAGGCAUGCUGGAGGUAUCAGAAGUGCGAAUGCUGACAUAAGUAACGAUAAAGCGGGUGAAAAGCCCGCUCGCCGGAAGACCAAGGGUUCCUGUCCAACGUUAAUCGGGGCAGGGUGAGUCGACCCCUAAGGCGAGGCCGAAAGGCGUAGUCGAUGGGAAACAGGUUAAUAUUCCUGUACUUGGUGUUACUGCGAAGGGGGGACGGAGAAGGCUAUGUUGGCCGGGCGACGGUUGUCCCGGUUUAAGCGUGUAGGCUGGUUUUCCAGGCAAAUCCGGAAAAUCAAGGCUGAGGCGUGAUGACGAGGCACUACGGUGCUGAAGCAACAAAUGCCCUGCUUCCAGGAAAAGCCUCUAAGCAUCAGGUAACAUCAAAUCGUACCCCAAACCGACACAGGUGGUCAGGUAGAGAAUACCAAGGCGCUUGAGAGAACUCGGGUGAAGGAACUAGGCAAAAUGGUGCCGUAACUUCGGGAGAAGGCACGCUGAUAUGUAGGUGAAGCGACUUGCUCGUGGAGCUGAAAUCAGUCGAAGAUACCAGCUGGCUGCAACUGUUUAUUAAAAACACAGCACUGUGCAAACACGAAAGUGGACGUAUACGGUGUGACGCCUGCCCGGUGCCGGAAGGUUAAUUGAUGGGGUUAGCGCAAGCGAAGCUCUUGAUCGAAGCCCCGGUAAACGGCGGCCGUAACUAUAACGGUCCUAAGGUAGCGAAAUUCCUUGUCGGGUAAGUUCCGACCUGCACGAAUGGCGUAAUGAUGGCCAGGCUGUCUCCACCCGAGACUCAGUGAAAUUGAACUCGCUGUGAAGAUGCAGUGUACCCGCGGCAAGACGGAAAGACCCCGUGAACCUUUACUAUAGCUUGACACUGAACAUUGAGCCUUGAUGUGUAGGAUAGGUGGGAGGCUUUGAAGUGUGGACGCCAGUCUGCAUGGAGCCGGCCUUGAAAUACCACCCUUUAAUGUUUGAUGUUCUAACGUUGACCCGUAAUCCGGGUUGCGGACAGUGUCUGGUGGGUAGUUUGACUGGGGCGGUCUCCUCCUAAAGAGUAACGGAGGAGCACGAAGGUUGGCUAAUCCUGGUCGGACAUCAGGAGGUUAGUGCAAUGGCAUAAGCCAGCUUGACUGCGAGCGUGACGGCGCGAGCAGGUGCGAAAGCAGGUCAUAGUGAUCCGGUGGUUCUGAAUGGAAGGGCCAUCGCUCAACGGAUAAAAGGUACUCCGGGGAUAACAGGCUGAUACCGCCCAAGAGUUCAUAUCGACGGCGGUGUUUGGCACCUCGAUGUCGGCUCAUCACAUCCUGGGGCUGAAGUAGGUCCCAAGGGUAUGGCUGUUCGCCAUUUAAAGUGGUACGCGAGCUGGGUUUAGAACGUCGUGAGACAGUUCGGUCCCUAUCUGCCGUGGGCGCUGGAGAACUGAGGGGGGCUGCUCCUAGUACGAGAGGACCGGAGUGGACGCAUCACUGGUGUUCGGGUUGUCAUGCCAAUGGCACUGCCCGGUAGCUAAAUGCGGAAGAGAUAAGUGCUGAAAGCAUCUAAGCACGAAACUUGCCCCGAGAUGAGUUCUCCCUGACUCCUUGAGAGUCCUGAAGGAACGUUGAAGACGACGACGUUGAUAGGCCGGGUGUGUAAGCGCAGCGAUGCGUUGAGCUAACCGGUACUAAUGAACCGUGAGGCUUAACCUUACAACGCCGAAGGUGUUU